rnacentral:rRNA from 1 species
UACGUAGGGUGCGAGCGUUGCCCGGAUUUAUUGGGCGUAAAGAGCUCGUAGGCGGUUUGUCGCGUCUGCUGUGAAAACUGGAGGCUCAACCUCCAGCCUGCAGUGGGUACGGGCAGACUAGAGUGCGGUAGGGGAGAUUGGAAUUCCUGGUGUAGCGGUGGAAUGCGCAGAUAUCAGGAGGAACACCGAUGGCGAAGGCAGAUCUCUGGGCCGUAACUGACGCUGAGGAGCGAAAGCAUGGGGAGCGAACAGG